rnacentral:misc_RNA from 1 species
AACGCACAUUGCGCCCCUUGGUAUUCCGAGGGGCAUGCCUGUUCGAGCGUCAUUAUAACCACUCAAGCCUGGCUUGGUAUUGGGGUUCGCGUGCUCGCGGCCCUUAAAAUCAGUGGCGGUGCCGUCUGGCUCUAAGCGUAGUAAUUCUCUCGCUAUAGAGUCCUGUCGGUUACUUGCCAGAACCCCCACAUUCUUAGGUUGACCUCGGAUCAGGUAGGGAUACCCGCUGAACUUAA